rnacentral:rRNA from 1 species
UACGUAGGGCGCAAGCGUUGUCCGGAAUUAUUGGGCGUAAAGAGCUCGUAGGCGGUUUGUCGCGUCUGCUGUGAAAACCUGAGGCUUAACCUUGGGCGUGCGGGCGAUACGGGCAGACUGGAGUACUGCAGGGGAGACUGGAAUUCCUGGUGUAGCGGUGGAAUGCGCAGAUAUCAGGAGGAACACCGGUGGCGAAGGCGGGUCUCUGGGCAGUAACUGACGCUGAGGAGCGAAAGCGUGGGGAGCGAACAGG